rnacentral:misc_RNA from 1 species
GCUGAGCCACCUGGGUCUUAAAAACCGCCGCAGCUAACCUUCACAAAUCACGACGCCAUGAUUCUUUUCCAAAAGCCAAUUUCAUUUCUCUAGCUCAAAGGAGUAUUGAAAACAUCGAAAAUGGCUGCAAAACUCGUUUGUCGCUACUUCUCCCAUUCCUACACUCCUGAAGAUAUUUCUCGAAAACAAAUGGAAUCACCAAAAUCCUCUCCAAUCCCUGACCUCGUCGUCAAUCCAAGAAGCGCAAAAUCAGCUCCUAUUCAUACACAGCAAUCAAAGACUUCGAAACCUCGUUCUAUUAGGCCCAACGAUCUCAAUCUCAUAAAGACUCUUUAUGCUCUUGUUGAUUCUGGUUCCAUGAAUAACGCUCUCUAUCUGUUUGAGAAAAUGAACCACUCGGAUACCUAUAUAUGGAAUGUUAUUAUUCGAGGUUUUUCCAACCAUGGGUUGUUUCAAGAAACUAUUGAUUUUUACUAUAGGAUGGAAUGUGAAGGGAUUAUAACUGAUCAUUUUACAUUUCCAUUUGUGAUCAAAGCAUGUGGCCGGUUAUUAUCUUUGGUUGAUGGGCAAAAGGUUCAUGCGAGGUUGAUUAAGAAUGGAUUGGAUUUUGAUCUCUUUGUUUGUAAUUCCCUUAUUGAUACGUACUUCAAACUUGGGUUCACCGAGUAUGCAGAGAAGGUUUUUGAAGAAAUGCCUAUAAGGGACUUAGUUUCGUGGAAUACUAUGGUUGGUGGAUAUCAAAUAGUUGGUGACGGAUUGAAGUCAUUGAUAUGCUUUAGAGAAAUGUUACAUUCUGGAAGGCAACCCGAUAGACCCAGCAUGAUUAGUGCUCUUGGCGGUUGUUCCAUUGAGGGUUGUCUGCAUGGUGGGAAGGAAAUUCAUUGCCAAGUGAUUAGAAGUGGACUUGAAUUGGACAUAAUGGUUCAGACAUCACUUAUUGAUAUGUAUGCCAAGUGUGGUAGACUGGAUUAUGCAGAGAGUGUAUUUAAUAGAAUUUCAUCUAAGAACUUAGUGGCUUGGAAUGCCAUUAUUGGCGGGUAUGCUCUUAACGGUCAUUUUUACGAGUCAUUUGCUUGCAUGAAAAGAAUGCAAGAGGAUAAUUUUAUUCCAGAUGCUAUUACAAUGAUAAAUUUGCUCCCAUCUUGUUCACAAUUAGGAGCUCUCUUGGAAGGUAAAUGUAUCCAUGGUUUUGCCAUUAGAAAAAUGUUUCUCCCUCAUAUAGUGCUGGAAACUGCUUUGGUUGACAUGUAUGGAAAAUGUGGACAAUUGAAAUCCGCAAAAUGUGUAUUUGGUCAAAUAAAUGAAAAGAACUUGGUAUCAUGGAACGCCAUGAUAGCUGCUUAUGCACAAAAUGGGUGGAGUCGAGAAGCUUUAGAAUUGUUUCAACGCCUUCAGAAUGAGCCUCUCAAACCAGACACAGUUACAAUUUCAAGCAUCCUACCUGCCUACGCUGAAUUAGCCUCAGUGGCUGAGUGUAAACAAGUUCAUGCUUAUAUUACAAAAUUGAAGCUUAGUUCAAAUACUUUGACCUCAAAUGCAAUGGUUUAUAUGUAUGGAAAAUGUGGUGAUCUUCAGUCUGCAAGAAAGUAUUUUGAUGACAUGCUGUUUAGGGAUGUAGUCUCUUGGAACGUAAUGAUUAUGGUUUAUGCUAUUCAUGGGUUUGGAACAACUGCGAUACAGUUGUUUUCCAACAUGAGGGAAAAGGGCAUCAAACCCAAUGGGAGUACUUUUGUUUCACUAUUGUCAGCAUGCAGCAUCUGUGGUCUGGUUGAGGAAGGAUGGGAGUUCUUCAAUUCUAUGAAAGGGGACUAUAACAUUGAUCAUGGAAUAGAGCAUUUUGGCUGUAUGCUAGAUCUUCUUGGACGCACUGGAAAUCUUAAUGUAGCCAAGCAGUUCAUUGAAGAGAUGCCUUUGGCCCCAACAGCCAGGAUAUGGGGUUCUUUACUAACUGCAAGUAGGAACAAUAAUGACAUAGUCUUGGCUGAACUUGCAGCUAAGCACAUUUUGUCCUUGGACCAUGACAAUACAGGUUGCUAUGUUGUGCUUUUUAAUAUGUAUGCAGAAGCUGGAAGGUGGGAAGAUGUAGAGCAGAUUAAAUUUCUUAUGAAGAUAAAAGGCAUAGUGAAGACAAUUGGUUGCUGUAUGGUUGAGGUCAAUGGUAAAACUCACAAGUUUGUCAAUCAAGACAAGCAUCACUACCAAAUAAACACGAUUUAUGAUGUGUUGGAUAUUAUCUUGAAGAAGAUUGGAGAAGACAUCCACGUUGAUUCCCUUAACAAGUUCAGACCAGAAGACUUGGUUGAUAAGAAAAUGAAUUCGCCUAAGAAUCAUAGCGUCAAACUAGCCAUCUGCUUUGGCUUGAUCUCUACGACAAUUGGAAAUCCUAUCAUUAUUAGAAAGAACACUAGAAUAUGCAAAGAUUGCCACAGUGCUGCAAAGAAAAUUUCACAAGUUACUAAAAGGAAAAUAAUAGUGGGAGAUUCAAAAAUUUUUCACCACUUUGAGGAUGGGCGUUGCUCAUGCGGCGAUUAUUGGUAAGUGCAGUUGUUUCAGCUUCAUUUACUUAAAAAGAAGAAAAAAAGAAUGUUGUAGACAAGCCUAGCACAUUUUCUUUGUACAAGCCUGCUGAGUGUAUAUAUCAGUUGCUGGUGCCAAUGUCUCAAAAUAAUUUAACAUUUUAGACGAUCUCUAUCACAUGUCAUGAUUUGUAAUUCCCUUUCAUUCUCCAAAAUUCUCUCUCUCAUCCCCAUUUAUAUCUAAA